rnacentral:lncRNA from 1 species
AGGUGCCAAUGCUACACUUCCUUAGCUAGGAGCUAGCAAUGCUACGUGGAAUUGCAUGUCGAAAAUAUUUAAAAAGUCAACCUGCCAUCUCUCCUGCCCUGCUCGUCCAAGUUCCCACUCUAGUUCCAGUACUGGCAGGCUUCACCACUAUAUCCCAGCAGGGUCCUGCUUGGCAUGUUCUCCCAGGUAUCUUCUGAGAGGUUGUUCUCUCUCCACUUCUCAUUCAAGUCUGAAGAUGCUUACAGUCACCUGCAGUACUUCUAAAUCAGAGUUUUGAGAUGGAAGAGGUCACAGCUCCAAUGAUCUCAGCCGAAGAAGAUGAGGAAGAAGACCAGCACAAGUGCUACGACUCAGUGACCUCAUGGGAAACCGUGGGGAGAGAUAGCAUUCAAGAAGGAACAUGGGGAAGAGUAUCCAGAGUACAGAGUGGAAGCCUUUGCCCUCCUCUUUCAGCUCUCCAAGGAAUGUCUUCCUGCCCGGUGUCCUGGACAACUGCCUGUCUUUAGAAUUAACAAAUGCUCUGACUUGCAGAGUCUCUCUCAAAUCAGCUUUUGCUGGUAUCAGGAUUUCUCUGGAGGACUCAACAAAGUCCUCUCCAUGCCUGAGAUUCCUACAAUGAUUGAAAUUCCAUUGUUUCUUCCCCGUGGAAUAACCAUAAGCUUCCUGAGGGAGUGCACCUCAGAGAGGCCUCGCCUGGGACUUGAAACAUCCAGCCCACUGUACGCUGUGGCAUUUGGACAGGUUCUUGCCUCGAGUUCCUGCUCUGCCUUCAUUUCACUAUACCUAGAAGCUGAAAUAAACUAUUUCCUCCACAA